rnacentral:rRNA from 1 species
AGUGAACGCUGGCGGUAGGCCUAACACAUGCAAGUCGAACGGCAGCACAGUAAGAGCUUGCUCUUACGGGUGGCGAGUGGCGGACGGGUGAGGAAUACAUCGGAAUCUACUUUUUCGUGGGGGAUAACGUAGGGAAACUUACGCUAAUACCGCAUACGACCUACGGGUGAAAGCAGGGGAUCUUCGGACCUUGCGCGAUUGAAUGAGCCGAUGUCGGAUUAGCUAGUUGGCGGGGUAAAGGCCCACCAAGGCGACGAUCCGUAGCUGGUCUGAGAGGAUGAUCGGCCACACUGGAACUGAGACACGGUCCAGACUCCUACGGGAGGCAGCAGUGGGGAAUAUUGGACAGAGGGCGCAAGCCUGAUCCAGCCAUACCGCGUGGGUGAAGAAGGCCUUCGGGUUGUAAAGCCCUUUUGUUGGGAAAGAAAAGCAGCAGGUUAAUACCCCGCUGUUCUGACGGUACCCAAAGAAUAAGCACCGGCUAACUUCGUG